AUACUGAGGGUGCAAGCGUUAAUCGGAAUUACUGGGCGUAAAGCGCGCGUAGGCGGUUUAUUAAGUCAGAUGUGAAAGCCCCGGGCUCAACCUGGGAACUGCAUUUGAAACUGGUGAACUAGAGUUUGGUAGAGGGUGGCGGAAUUCCAGGUGUAGCGGUGAAAUGCGUAGAUAUCUGGAAGAACACCAGUGGCGAAGGCGGCCACCUGGACCAAAACUGACGCUGAGGUGCGAAAGCGUGGGGAGCAAACAGGAUUAGAAACCCUUGUAGUCC
rnacentral:rRNA from 1 species